UUCCCCGACCCUCUCACCUCAGCCCUUACUUCAAUGCAAAUCAUCACCACCACCACCACCUGUUAUUGCACCACUCCUUCACCACCACCAGAAAUCGCACCACACCACACCACAACCACCACCACAAACCGCAUCUUACCACCGCCACCAUCACCGCACACACUCUACUUGUCACUGCUCGAGAGAACUCCAACCACCGCGCCGGAGCAAUAACUGCGCCCAUCUGCUACUGCGUUCCAUCCCACCCACCGUGCCGGUCUGUAGACAAGCACUGGAGAUGCCGCGAAAGAGGGCUCCAAUGGCCCGGCCGUCCAACCCUUCGCCGGCGUCGCGUUUGAGAGAGCUACUGCGUGAUGUUGUGUGGUGAAAAAGGUGGUGGCCGGUGAUCGUGAGAUGGUGGUUAAGGAGAUGGUGGUGGAGAAGGUGAAGGAGGUGAAGGAGAUGGCGGUGGAGUCGGGGGUGAAGUGGAUGGUGGUGGAGAGGGAGCUGCCGGAAUUGGUGGUGGAGAAGGUGAAGGAGAUGGCGGUGGAGUUGGUGGUGAAGAGGGUAGUGGUGAAGGGCACAAAUGUCCUUUUGUGUAAAAUAUGCGGACAUUAUAAACGUAGGAGGACGUCGAAUAGCGAUACACAUAAAAAAUUGAAAACAAUACUUGAAAUGAAGGAAUACUGAAAUGGAUAAUGCAUAGUACUAUGUAAUGUACGUUAGAACAGAAGUACGUGGUAAUAUGUAUGAUGGUUUACCAACUUCGCAGUCUAUGGCACAGUUGUACCUUCUUUAUCAACAAGAUAAUGUAUAUCUAGUUGCUCAAAUAAUAGUGGCUCUAAUUACUGAAAAACUUAAUUGGAUAACAUGAUUAUCCUAUUAACGAA